rnacentral:misc_RNA from 1 species
GAUGAAGAACGCAGCGAAAUGCGAUACGUAAUGUGAAUUGCAGAAUUCAGUGAAUCAUCGAGUCUUUGAACGCACAUUGCGCCCCCUGGUAUUCCGGGGGGCAUGCCUGUCAGAGCGUCAUUGCUGCCCUCAAGCACGGCUUGUGUGUUGGGCCUCCGUCCUCCUCCCGGGGGACGGGCCCGAAAGGCAGCGGCGGCACCGCGUCCGGUCCUCGAGCGUAUGGGGCUUCGUCACCCGCUCUUGUAGGCCCGGCCGGCGCUUGCCGACACAUCAAUCUUUUUUCCAGGUUGACCUCGGAUCAGGUAGGGAUACCCGCUGAACUUAAGCAUAUCAAUAAGCGGAGGA